rnacentral:tRNA from 2 species
GGGUGCGUAGCUCAGCGGGAGAGCGCUUCCUUCACACGGAAGAGGUCGCAGGUUCAAUCCCUGCCGCACCCACCA